rnacentral:rRNA from 1 species
AGUGAACGCUGGCGGUAGGCCUAACACAUGCAAGUCGAACGGCAGCACAGUAAGAGCUUGCUCUUACGGGUGGCGAGUGGCGGACGGGUGAGGAAUACAUCGGAAUCUACUUUUUCGUGGGGGAUAACGUAGGGAAACUUACGCUAAUACCGCAUGCGACCUACGGGUGAAUGCAGGGGAUCUUCGGACCUUGCGCGAUUGAAUGAGCCGAUGUCGGAUUAGCUAGUUGGCGGGGUAAAGGCCCACCAAGGCGACGAUCCGUAGCUGGUCUGAGAGGAUGAUCAGCCACACUGGAACUGAGACACGGUCCAGACUCCUACGGGAGGCAGCAGUGGGGAAUAUUGGACAAUGGGCGCAAGCCUGAUCCAGCCAUACCGCGUGGGUGAAGAAGGCCUUCGGGUUGUAAAGCCCUUUUGUUGGGAAAGAAAAGCAGCAGGUUAAUACCCCGCUGUUCUGACGGUACCCAAAGAAUAAGCACCGGCUAACUUCGUG